rnacentral:rRNA from 1 species
GACGAACGCUGGCGGCGUGCCUAAUACAUGCAAGUUGAGCGCUGAGGGUUGGUACUUGUGCGAACCGGGUGAGCCGCACACGGGUGAGUCACGCGUGUGAACUCUGCCUUUGUGCGGGGGAACACAAUUGAACACGAAUGCUUACCCCGCAUAAACACUUUCAACACAAGUUUUAUGUUUAAAAGAUGCCGUUUCAUCACUCACAGCUGGUCUCGCGUUGUAUUAGCUAGUUGGUGAGGUAAAGACUCACCAAGGCGAGGAUACAUAGCCGACCUGAGCGGGUGAGCGGCCACACUGGGACGGUGACAGGGCCCAAAGGCCUUGGGGAGGCAGCAGUAGGGAAUCUGCGGCAAUGGACGAGAGUCUGACCGAGAAACGCCGCGUGAUGGUAGAAGGUGUUCGGGUCGUAAAACUCUGUUGUUAGAGAAGAAAGUGGGUGAGAGUGUAAAGCUCAGCAAGUGACGGUAAUUAGUCAGGAAGGGACGGCUAACUACGUG